rnacentral:rRNA from 1 species
UUCCGGUUGAUCCUGCCGGAGGCCACUGCUAUUGGGAUCCGACUAAGCCAUGCGAGUCGAGAGGGUUCGGCCCUCGGCAGACUGCUCAGUAACACGUGGAUAACCUACCCUCAGGCGGAGAAUAACCUCGGGAAACUGAGAAUAAUACUCCAUAGAUCUAGGAUGCUGGAAUGCAUCUAGAUUGAAAGCUCCGGCGCCUAAGGAUGGGUCUGCGGACUAUCAGGUUGUAGUCAGGGUAAAGACCUGACUAGCCUACGACGGAUAUGGGUUGUGAGAGCAAUAGCCCAGAGACGAUAUCUGAGACACGAUAUCGGGCCCUACGGGGCGCAGCAGGCGCGAAAUCUUCACAAUGUGCGAAAGCACGAUGAGGGGAUCCCAAGUGCUGGCACGUAAGUGUCAGCUGUUUCUUUGUCUAAAAAACAAAGAGAGUAAGAGCUGGGUAAGACGGGUGCCAGCCGCCGCGGUAAUACCUGCAGCUCAAGUGGUGGCCGCUAUUAUUGGGCCUAAAACGUCCGUAGCCGGUUUAGUAAAUGCUUGGGUAAAUUGUGUAGCUUGACUAUACGAAUACCGGGUAGACUGCUAAACUUGGGACCGGGAGAGGCUAGAGGUACUCCUAGGGUAGAGGUGAAAUUCUGUAAUCCUAGGGGGACCACCAGUGGCGAAAGCGUCUAGCUAGAACGGGUCUGACGGUGAGGGACGAAGCCCUGGGGCGCGAACCGGAUUAGAUACCCGGGUAGUCCAGGGUGUAAACGCUGCUCGCUUGAUGUUAGUUGGGCUCCGAGCCCAACUAGUGUCGGAGAGAAGUUGUUAAGCAAGCUGCCUGGGAAGUACGGUCGCAGACUGAACUUAAAGGAAUUGGCGGGGGGAGCACAGCACGGGUGGAGCGUGCGGUUAAUUGAUCACGCCGU